GGAUCGACCCAAGGCUCCUCCCAGGCAUCUCCCAGAGUGUUUUGACCUCUGCGUUUGGGACCGGAGAUCCCAGCUACCUGCCCCAGACUCCUCCAAGAAGCUCUCUCCUCCAGGAUCGACCCAAGACUCCUCCUAGGCGUCUCCCAGAGUGUUUUGACCUCUGCGUUCGGGACCGGAGAUCCCAGCUACCUGCCCCAGACUCCUCCAAGAAGCUCUCUCCUCCAGGAUCGACCCAAGACUCCUCCCAGGCGUCUCCCAGAGUGUUUUGACCUCUGCGUUCGGGACCGGAGAUCCCAGCUACCUGCCCCAGACUCCUCCAAGGAAGCUACCUUUGAGGUUUUUUU